UACGUAGGGGGCAAGCGUUGGUCCGGAAUCAUUGGGCGUAAAGAGCGUGUAGGCGGCCCGAUAAGUCCGCUGUGAAAGUCCAGGGCUCAACCCUGGGAUGCCGGUGGAUACUGUCGGGCUCGAGUCCGGAAGAGGAGUGUGGAAUUCCUGGUGUAGCGGUGAAAUGCGCAGAUAUCAGGAGGAACACCAAUGGCGAAGGCAGCACUCUGGGACGUGACUGACGCUGAGACGCGAAAGCGUGGGGAGCAAACAGG
rnacentral:rRNA from 1 species